GAGAGAUGGGGCGUUCCUGGGCCGCUGCAGGUCUGUCACCUUUCUUCAGGCCCUUUCAGAAACAUCAUUUCCUUCUUCUUCUUCUUCUUCUGGUGUUCUGUUUUUAUUCUGGGUAAUGAGCUUUGGCUUGGCUUUUGGUUUCUAUGUUUAAAAGAAAAACGAGAGAGCGGGAGCAAGAAAAACAAGAAAAAAAGUGAGCAGGCGUUGUGUUUUGUUGAAAUCUCCCGUGUGUUUUCUGUGAUCCUCUUGUUGCUUGUUUUUGCCGUCCUUCACGUUAUGACGUUCGCUUAAUUUGAACUUUGGCGUCUUUGACAGCCACGUACCUUCUCUGUUACCUUCGAGUUAUGAAGUCUACACUACAUGCAGAUAACCACGGCCGCCGGUGUAUUUUUAGUCAAGCUGAACAACACUGGCUCAUGAGUAAGAUCGAUUGUCAGGUCAGACAGACUGGCACUUGCUGAGUGGAUAUUGGAGUUCAGUCGUCAGACAGGAAGUUUGGUGGGUGAGAUACAAAUUCUCAAACUGUAAAGAAGAUUAAAUGUCACGAGACCUCACACUCAUCUGGAAGCAAGAACAUCACUUGAAAGGGUAUUUUAUUGUUUUUGAUGAAUUCUGUACUUUGUUUUUUAGCCAAAUACUUUUCCAGUGCUUUAUAAACAGCAAGGAUUGUAAAUCUGAAUAACUCAUAGCAGGGGAGGCUCACACAGAGCUCGUUUAACGGCCCAGCUCGUUGGUUCUCCGGAGAUCUAACAAGACUCGGACUGUUGCCUUCCCAAAUGUCAAAAUUACAGGAAGCUGCUCCAUUAAAAACAAGAAGAGAAAAAAACAAAACAGAACGAGCGCUUUGAAUCCAUGUGCGGGAAAAAUAACGCUGUGUUUGUUCUUUCUUUUAGUCUUUGAUGAUGUUCUUUUUUUUUUUCAUCUUGGUGUUUUUGGUGCGCAAAAAUGUAAAAAAGAAAAAAACUUACAACACAGAAUACCUCAGAAAAGAAAUCCAUGUAACCUUGACGACCUCCUUAUAUUGUCAGACCCUGUCCAUCAACACUCAUCUCUGGACACUUUCAUCUCCAUUUUUGUCAUUUUUCUUUGUUCCUCCUGCCAAAUGCAGUGCGUCGUAGCCAGUAAAGGUUCCACAAGUUUGCUUUGUCUAUUUUUUUUAAAACACUAAUUUAGCUUCACAUUCCCGCAUGUUCUAUUUUUUAAUUUGUCGACAUUCUUGGUCUUAAUCCUUUCACAGCCCACACUGCAUUGAGCUGUUGUUUUCAAGACAAUUUUAAACACUGCUAUUUCCCUGUGGCUCGGAAAGAUUCACAGAAGACAUUCUUUGAAUCCCUGUAAAAGAUGGAAGUUGAAAAAAACCCAACUCUCCAGUCUUUUGUUUCUCCAAGUGGGUUUGCUGAUAGAAUGAAGGCCAAUGCUGUAUGUGAAACACUUGAAACCACACAUUCCCCACCUUGUUCCCUUUGCAUACCUCUUUAUCAACUUUUUAUUGUUGUUAAAAACUGAAUGUAAGAAAAAAACGCAAACACAACAAACCUCUAAUUUAACUAUACAUAUUUAAGAAUAAAAGAAUACUCUAUAUGUGCACAUAGAUAUACCUAUACAAGCCCCACACAGACAUAAACACAAAUGCAUAUGUAUAUAAAAAUCUCUAAUGUCAUAUACUUUUAUCUUGAAAAGGAAGAGGAUGAGCCUUUUCCAUUGAUGAUUCAGGGAAACAAUACAGAAGUCCAGUGCAGUAUGUUAGGUGAAAUCGCUCCCACUCUGUCACUUUUGGUGUUUGUUUUCUUACUCUGUUCUUGCUUGCUAUUUUCCCAUGAUGUAGCAUAGGGCAAAGGGGCAGGGCGGCUCAAGGUUGUUGGGUUUUUUUGUUAACAGACGAUGUAGUGAAACUAGGAUCUUGUGUAGUUGUAGUCUUUUUAGGCCUGAUUCUGUG
ensembl:lncRNA